rnacentral:rRNA from 1 species
CCUACGGGAGGCUGCAGUGAGGAAUAUUGGUCAAUGGACGAGAGUCUGAACCAGCCAAGUAGCGUGAAGGAUGACUGCCCUAUGGGGUGUACACUUCUUUUAUAUGGGAAUAAAACGUUCCACGUGUGGGAUUUUGUAUGUACCAUAUGAAUAAGGAUAGGCUAACUACGUGCCAGCAGCCGCGGUAAUACGGAGGAUCCGAGCGUUAUCCUGAUUUAUUGGGUUUAAAGGGAGCGUAGGUGGAUUGUUAAGUCAGUUGUGAAAGUUUGCGGCUCAACCGUAAAAUUGCAGUUGAAACUGGCAGACUUGAGUACAGUAGAGGUGGGCGGAAUGCGUGGUGUAGCGGUGAAAUGCUUAGAUAUCACGAAGAACUCCGAUUGCGAAGGCAGUUCACUGGACUGCAACUGACACUGAGGCUCGAAAGUGUGGGUAUCAAACAGGAUUAGAUACCCGUGUAGUC